UACAGAGGGUGCGAGCGUUGUUCGGAAUUAUUGGGCGUAAAGGGCGCGUAGGCGGUGCGGUAAGUCACCUGUGAAAUCUCCUGGCUCAACUGGGAGCUUGCAGGCGAAACUGCCGUGCUGGAGUGUGGGAGAGGUGCGUGGAACUGCGAGUGUAGAGGUGAAAUUCGUAGAUAUUCGCAAGAACACCAGUGGCGAAGGCGGCUUACUGGUCCAUAACUGACGCUGAGGUGCGAAAGCGUGGGGAGCAAACAGG
rnacentral:rRNA from 1 species